rnacentral:RNase_P_RNA from 2 species
CCACCUCAAACGCCGCGCUUCCUCGCACACUUACGAGUUCCUGAAGGGAGCGAGCUUUCGCGAGGGGGUAAGGUCUGAGAAUCCUUCCUCAACAAGUUGCUCUAGCGGGGCCAGGCACUAACUGUGUCUGCAGUUGUAUCAGAAAAUACCUCCCAUCUCUUGGCUUCUGAGGACACUUCGCGGCUCGCUGAGCUGAUGCUAGGAGAGGAACUGAACGAGGUGCUGAGUUGGAAGGCGAUUGCGAGGAUGACUGGAUGUAGUGCAAUGUGCGGCUUGUUAAGAACCGCUCAGCGUUUUGGCGUUGUGCAGCUUGACAAAACUCGAUUCAGACUAGUCUUGGGCGUGG